UCCAACCUGGCCUUGGCACCUUCAGGGAUGGGGCACCCACAGCUCUCUGGGCAGCAGUGCCAGGGCCUCACCCCCCUCUGAGAUCAGGCCAUGAUUCAAGGAGCAAGGGUUCCAGCAACAAUCAGCAAGUGCUUGACUGCCCCAACUCACUGCACCUGUGCAAAGGCACAGUGGGGGCUUAUGCUAAAAUCUCAGUACUCCAGGGAGACUUCAAAGCCAUGGUGUCCCCCAUCUUGGGUCACUCCCUGUCCCCCUGAGCCCCCUGAGCACCUCAGUUUGUCCCUCAAAUACUCCCUCUGAAAGGAAGAUCCAGUGUAGGCCAGUCUACUAGAUCAAACUGGCAAUAGCUGUGGCUUCUACUCCAAUAACAACCAGCAGUUUAUUAGCGUGUUGGCUGCACAUUAUUGCUUCUACAGGAAGAGUUGCAGUUAGGGUAAUUGAAGGGUGAAACGAAAGGAUUUGUGGUUAGCAUUGCAGAACAGCACUGCAGACUGUAAAACUGCUGUUCUGCUUCCUGCAGCCAGAAUUUCCUUACUGGUAUCAGUGGGAGAGAGACCAGGCUUCUCAGUGCAUCGGUAAAGCCUAAAUAGCCGGUAUUCUGCCACUUCAGAAAAGCUGAGUGCCAUCAGCUAACGGCCAUGAAUAUUUCAGCGCAUGUCAUUAUUAUUUCACAACGGUCCGUGUAAACACUGGGAACAGAGGGAGCUCCUGAGUCGCUGCACCUAGGCCUGGGCUAUCUCAGGACAGCCUCCUCCCUGCUGGCUUCUGAGGUACUCUGCAGACCAUUCCCGCUGAGCCGGUGACAGAGGAAUGAGCUGUGCAGCACCCAGUCCAAAACCCUGCUCCAGCCAGAAGCUUCAGAUCUGCAGGAUGGUCUGUGAGCACCACAGAGGCAGCUGGAAGAACCUUCAAACCUCUGCUGGAGCAUUUGUAGCUUCUUGCGCUGUGAACCAAAGUCUGCAGCUCCACAGACAGAAAUGAAAGGAAACAAAGAAGAUGUGUGUGAGGCGCAGCAAAGUGAGCCAGAAGAAGGCAAGAGUGGGAGGAGUAUGCUAGUGGCUUUCCUCCCCCUUUAGGCACUGAAAGGCGACUCUCAGGUCUCCCUGGAGCCUUCAGUUCUCCAGAAUACAGUCUCGGGAGGUUUCAGGAGCUGAGACCUGCAGAAAAACAGCAGGUACUGUGAGCACUGAUAAAACCAAAGACGGGAGCAACACUACAUUAAAUAUGGGUUUGGAAUUUAAUUUUAAAACUCAUCUCAUUCCAUGUCCGCUGCCUUUAGCUAAUUUUCUUCCCAAGAUAACUCUGCUGUUGCUAAGCCUUCCAGGAGAGAAACUCAUGUUUCUAAGGGCCGUUACUGUUGACACAGCGGGACUCCAGCUGAAAACUAAUGCGAUGUGAAGGCUGGGUCUGCAGGACACCCUGGUGCAUGUCACUGUGCCCCUGGCAGCUCGGUCAGAGCACAUUUGACAGAGCUCAGUGCUGAGAAUAAGGGUUGCAAUUGUGCUGGUGAGGUGGGUGGUGGGAGAUGGGCUGUUCCUAUGGCAUGGGGGAGGGAUG